UACGGGGGGGGCAAGCGUUGUUCGGAAUUACUGGGCGUAAAGGGCUCGUAGGCGGCCAACUAAGUCGGAUGUGAAAUCCCCAGGCUUAACCUGGGAACUGCAUCCGAUACUGGAUGGCUUGAAUUCGGGAGAGGGAUGCAGAAUUCCAGGUGUAGCGGUGAAAUGCGUAGAUAUCUGGAGGAACACCGGUGGCGAAGGCGGCUUCCUGGACCGAUUACUGACGCUGAGGCGCGAAAGCUAGGGGAGCAAACGGG
rnacentral:rRNA from 1 species